rnacentral:rRNA from 1 species
UACGGAGGGUGCAAGCGUUAUCCGGAUUCACUGGGUUUAAAGGGUGCGUAGGUGGAGUGGUAAGUCAGUGGUGAAAUCUCCAAGCUUAACUUGGAAACUGCCGUUGAUACUAUCAUUCUUGAAUAUCGUGGAGGUAAGCGGAAUAUGUCAUGUAGCGGUGAAAUGCUUAGAUAUGACAUAGAACACCAAUUGCGAAGGCAGCUGGCUACACAAAUAUUGACACUGAGGCACGAAAGCGUGGGGAUCAAACAGG